AUACGUAGGUGACAAGCGUUAUCCGGAUUUACUGGGCGUAAAGGGCGUGUAGGCGGUCUUGCAAGUCAGAAGUGAAAUUCCUGAGCUCAACUCGGGCGCUGCUUCUGAAACUGCGGGACUUGAGUGCUGGAGGGGAUAGCGGAAUUCCUAGUGGAGCGGUAAAAUGCGCAGAUAUUAGGAAGAACACCGGUGGCGAAGGCGGCUAUCUGGACAGUAACUGACGCUGAGGCGCGAAAGCGUGGGGAGCAAACAGGAUUAGAUGCCCUGGUAGUCCACGCCGUAAACGAUGAAUACUAGGUGUAGGGGGUAUCGACUCCCUCUGUGCCGCAGUUAACACAAUAAGUAUUCCGCCUGGGGAGUACGGCCGCAAGGUUGAAACUCAAAUGAAUUGGCGGGG
rnacentral:rRNA from 1 species